CAACCCAUACAGCCGAUAGGUGCCCGCAGCUUCAGCGCUGCAGGUUAAAAGGGAAGCCGGUGCAAAUCCGGCACGGUCCCGCCACUGUAAACCGGGUAACGCCCCCAAGCGCCACUGUCUUUGCCGGACGGGAAGGCGGGGCGGCGUGCGUCCCAACGCUUUUGCUCCAUCGGAAAGUAUAGGCGAGCGCCUGUACUUGUCUGGUUCCGCUGCGUGCGGUGAACGCGUACGCCCCAAAGGGCGGCGCAAGCCGUAUGUCCCGGAAGCAAAGCAAAGCUGACGCACACCCGCAAGUCAGGAGACCUGCCUAUUCGGUCAGGCUACG
rnacentral:ncRNA from 2 species